UGCUUCUGCAGCCGGUGCCGCCAGCAAGACAUCCGGACCGGACGGAUGGCCCCUGCGGCCCUGCCCGUGGGCGGCUGGCCUCUGAGUGGUUGAGUCCCUUCACUAUGCUAGUAUAAAAUUGACAAGAGACAAAAACUAAUAGCCUCUCAAGUAGUCUUGGCCCCUAAUCCAAUCCAGCUUCCACCAUUGCGAGAGAUCAUCAGAGGAUCGUCUCCAGUCGAAGCGAAAAGCGAAAAGGAGAAGGGGCGGGGGAUUGCGAGCCUGUGCUGAUGGCGGCGGCGGCGGUGGCCGCGGCGGGGAGCAGCAAUGUCGAGUUCAUCCGCGCGCGCAGCGACAAGCGGGAGUACCGCCGCGUGGUGCUCGCCAACGCGCUCGAGAUCCUACUAAUCAGCGACCCCGACACCGACAAGGCGGCGGCGUGCAUGGAGGUCGAGGUGGGCUCGUUCAGCGAUCCGGAGGGACUUGAGGGCCUCGCGCACUUCCUCGAGCACAUGCUAUUUUAUGCCAGCGAGAAGUAUCCUGGAGAACAUGAAUAUACGAAAUAUAUCAUAGAGCAUGGUGGCUCUUACAAUGCAUAUACAAGCUCCGAGACAACGAAUUUCUUUUUCGAUGUCAAUGUGGACAAUUUUGAAGAAGCCUUAGAUAGAUUUGCUCAGUUCUUCAUUAAGCCAUUGAUGUCACAGGAUGCUGUUCUUAGAGAGAUAAAAGCUGUGGAUUCUGAGAACACAAGAAAAAUUUGUUGUCUGAUGGCUGGAGGAUGUAUCAGCUUCAAUUUCAUUCUUUUUUCCUCUCAGCUUCAAAAGCAUUUUGCUUCAAAGGAUCACCCUUACCACAAAUUCAGUACAGGAAGUUGGGAAACACUAGAAACUAAACCAAAAGCGAGGGGCCUGGAUAUCAGACUUGAACUUCUGAAGUUUUACAAGAAUUAUUCAGCAAACGUUAUGCACCUUGUUGUUUAUGGAAAGGAGAACCUCGAUUGCAUUCAGGGCUUGGUUGAGCGUAUGUUUAGUGACAUAAAAAACACUGAUCAGAGAAGCUUGAAAUGUCCAAGUCAUCCUCUUUCAGAGGAACAUUUACAGCUUCUUGUCAAAGCACUGCCAAUAGUAGAAGGGGACUAUCUAAGAAUUAUAUGGCCAAUAACACCUAGCAUCCAGUUUUACAAAGAAGCUCCUUGCCAUUAUCUGAGUCACCUCAUUGGACAUGAAGGCGAGGGGUCCAUCUUCCAUAUUAUAAAGGAACUAGGAUGGGCCAUGAACUUAAUGGCUGGAGAGUGCAGUGACAGUAAUGAGUAUUCCUUUUUCUCAGUAAGCAUGAGGCUCACUGAUGCUGGCCAUGAACGCAUGGAGGAUAUUGUUGGGUUGAUCUUCAAAUAUCUUCAUCUAUUAAAAGAAGACGGAGUCCAUGAGUGGAUAUUUAAUGAGCUUGCGGCGAUAAAUGAAAUGGAGUUCCAUUAUCAAGACAAAGUCCGCCCAAUCAACUAUGUGAUGCGCACUGUCUCAACUAUGCGGUUGUUCCCACCAGAAGAAUGGUUGGUUGGAGCAGCAUUACCAUCAAAGUAUGCAUCACAGAGAAUAAAUAUGAUACUCAAUCAACUAAUACCUGAAACAGUAAGAAUAUUCUGGGAGUCCAAAAAAUUUGAAGGAUCUACGAGUUCUGCUGAGCCCUGGUAUAACACACCAUUUUCAGUUGAAAAUGUCACUCCUUCAGUUAUACAGGAAUGGAUUGAAAAAGCUCCUACUGAAAAACUCCAUCUUCCAAAACCUAAUAUUUUCAUACCAAAGGAUUUAUCUCUUAAAGAAGUGCAUGAAAAGGUUACUUUUCCAACAGUGUUAAGGAAGAGCCCACUUUCACAGUUGUGGUAUAAGCCUGAUAUGCUGUUCUCCACACCAAAGGUUCACAUUAUCAUUGAUUUCCACUGUCCAUUAUCCAGCCACUCCCCUGAAGCAGUUGUUGCUACUGAGCUCUUUGUUGAUUUGUUAGUAGAUUAUUUGAAUGCUUAUGCUUAUGAUGCUCAAAUUGCUGGUUUAUUCUAUUCAAUAUAUGUUACUUCAGCUGGAUUCCAGGUUUCUUUAGGUGGUUACAAUGACAAGAUGAGAGUUCUCUUAAAUGCCAUACUAGUGCAAAUUGUGAAAUUUGAAGUUAAGCCAAACAGAUUUUCUGCACUGAAGGAAACUUCUGUCAAGGACUACCAGAAUUUCAAUUUCCGACAACCUUAUUCUCAAGCGUCAUACUAUGUCUCUUUGAUAUUGGGAGAUAAAAAAUGGCCUGUAGCUGAGAAACUUGAAGCUCUUUCUAAGCUUGAAUCAGAUUAUUUUGCAAAGUUCGUACCACACCUACUGUCAAAAACAUUUUUGGAAUGUUAUGUUCAAGGGAACAUUGAACCAAGUGAAGCAAAAUCUAUCGUAGAAGAAAUCGAAAACACUAUAUUUACUACGCCCAAUUCUUUGUUCAAAUCCAUGUCUCCAUCAGAAUAUCUGAUUAAAAGGGUCAUCAUGCUUGAAAAUGACUUGAAAUGCUACUACCAAACUGAGGGAUUAAACCAGAAGAAUGAGAAUUCAUCAGUUAUCCAAUAUAUUCAGGUGCAUCAAGAUGACGCCAUUUUGAAUAUCAAACUUGAGCUGUUCUCUCUAAUAGCAAAACAGCCAGCCUUCAACCAGCUACGAACUGUUGAACAACUUGGGUAUAUAACAAGUCUUUCUCUGAGAUCUUAGCUUGCAAUGAUUGCCACAUUCUACAGAUCCGACUAUGGAGUCCUGGCACUCCAGGUUGUUAUCCAGUCCACAGUAAAGGAUCCUUCAUACCUCGAUGUUAGAGUUGAUGAGUUCUUUAAGAUGUUUGAAAGCAAAAUCUAUGAACUCUCCGACAAGGAUUUCAAGAGAAAUGUGAAAUCAUUAAUUGAUUCUAAACUGGAGAAGUUUAAAAACUUAUGGGAGGAAUCUCAUUUCUACUGGGGAGAGAUUGAGGCAGGAACUCUGAAGUUUGAUAGGGUCGAGUCUGAGGUCGCUAUGCUAAGAGAGCUCAAGAAAGAAGAAUUCAUCGAGUACUUCAACCAGUAUAUAAAAGUGGACGCGCCUCAAAGGAGGACACUAAGCGUGCAAGUCUUCGGCGGCAACCAUUUGGUAGAGUUCAAGAAGGCAAUCAACGAAGCCAACCCGCCCAAAAUGUACAGAAUUACAGACAUAUUCGGCUUCAAACGAUCGAGGCCGCUGUACAGCUCACUCAAGGGAGGUCCGGGCAGGAUCACCAUGGACUGACAGCCGGCAAUAGCAUGCCUUGUUUUUCAUGUAUGUAGUGUAAUGGCCAGUGCAUACGAAUGAUGAAUUCGAUUCUGAAUCCUGCUCCUGCAUCAGAUUCGGUUGCAUGAUUGAUCUAUACUUCACUGUGGGUUUCACGACCAGCGUGUCACUUUCUGGGCAAAAUCUAGGGAGCUGUAUAAAGUCAUGUAUGUUCACAUGUUUGUUUGCGUUUCUUCUCACAGCUAUGCAGUUUGUACAGUUACAUAUCCACAGUGAACUAGAACUAGAAGCGCGUCUUCUACACACCAA